rnacentral:misc_RNA from 1 species
GAUGAAGAACGUAGCGAAAUGCGAUAAGUAGUGUGAAUUGCAGAAUUCCGUGAAUCAUCGAAUCUUUGAACGCACAUUGCGCCUUCUGGUAUUGCGGAAGGCAUGCCUGUUCGAGAGUCAUUAACAACCGUUUCGAUCCCUUUCUUUCAGAAAUUACAAAGAGGAAAAGGGUUUGGUUAUGGUGGAGGAGGGAAAGGGAGCGUUUAGCCUGUAAAAAAAGAGGCUGUGUUCCGCCUCCCCCCCAAAAUUGUACAGGCGGUCGUGUGCGCCCACGCAUCGAGGUGUUGUAAAAGCUGCCACGGCACUUUUCACCUGUGCAGUGCGAGAUUGGCCAGCCGGUUUAAAAACCCCUCCAAACAAUCAAAGGUUGACCUCGGAUCAGGUAGGGAUACCCGCUGAACUUAAGCAUAUCAAUAAGCGGAGGA